ensembl:lncRNA
CAACCAUUACGCGGACAUUGUCCAAACACAGAGUGCGGAUGAAGCAGCUCUACACUGUUCCCUUUGAGAGGAACAGUGAGAGGGUCAAGGAGCUACGACGACAAUAUGUCCAGAGAGUUAUGGAAUUGGAGGCCAACCAGGCCCCUCAUGAAUUCAUAUACAUCGAUGAGGCAGGAUUCAAUCUGGCCAAAAGGCGUCGACGUGGACGAAAUGUAAUUGGAAAAAGGGCCACAGUUGAUGUGCCAGGACAGAGAGGGGCAAACAUUACCAUGUGUGCAGCGCCUGGUUCCAGAGCAGGGUCAGGAGGGUGAAAACAUGAGGACCUUUGUAAUUACCUGGGACAAUGUGGCUUUCCAUCACUCGCAAGCAAUAACAACAUGGUUUGAAGUCCACCCAAGACUGGUAAGUCUCUUCCUUCCACCCUAUUCACCUUUCCUCAACCCCAUAGAGGAGUUCUUUUCUGCAUGGAGGUGGAAGGUUUAUGACCAUCAGCCACAUGACCAGAUGUCCCUCCUUGAAGCCAUGGAUGCUGGCUCCAGGGACAUCACAGUUGACGAUUGCCAAGGGUGGAUCCGACAUACCAGGCGGUUUUAUCCCAGGUGCAUCGACUUGGAUAACAUCAGAUGUGAUGUUGAUGAAAACAUGUGGCCUAACCCUGAAGAUCGCAGAGAUUAGAUGCAAAGUUUUUGCCUUUUUUUAGCCCCCCUCCCCCCCUUUUUAUCUUGGCUUUUUGCUGUUGUUUUUUUGUUCAGAAUGCU